AGGAAAGUUUUGGAAAAUAUUUUCUUUAAUUUUGUAAGGGAAGUCAUUUUCCUUAAAUUUGAGUAAAAUGAGUUGAUUUGAAAAUCAUUUUACCCAACCAAACAUGAGAAAAUUGGAAAAUAUUUUACGUUUUCCUUCAUACCAAACACACCCUAAGGGGAAAUAAUUUUAAUUCUCAUAGAUUUGGGUGUUCUUCAAGCUUUUCAAAUUCUCUUACAGUGAUUUUAGUUUUUAUUUAAAUACAUUCCCAAAUUAAUAAGUAAAUCUCAAUUCAAGAACAAUAAAUUAUUAGCAUAAGUCAUUGAAAAAAUGAUCAAUUCAUAGUUUAAUUGACAUAAGAAGGCCUUAUCUGUAGGUGUUGUGGUCGAAGCCAAUUUGGGAGCUGAAGUUGUCUUCAAUGGAGUUAGAUUCAUGUCAUUUGUAAAACCUGUAAAAGGCCGUAGUGAAUAUCAUCCAAGCUUCCCCAUCUCAACUAUGGGGUUGUCCAUCUGGUUAAGGUCUGGCCAGAAUUUUCACUGUGUUGGAGUUGAGGAUGAACGGCAGGAGGUUCUAGUCUUUUCUACCGGGACC
rnacentral:lncRNA from 1 species